GGAAUGCAAUGCACAAGCAUCUUCGGAUGACAGCCGCUCACUUCAAGAGCAGGUGAAGCAAGUAGAGACAAUGUUGAAGACGUUUGCUCUAACUGGGCAAUCAGGUGCGUUACCUGAAAGGAGCAUCUGACCGUGAAGGCAGAAAAAGGCGCCGCACAGCUGAGAGGGACCCACAGCCGACCCCUUAAACCUAGGCUGACUACUGACACCCCAGCAUCACUGAACUGGAACACUUUCCUUAUCCUGCAGUAAGUAACAUCAAGAAGCCAGAAGUGCCAGACUACACUCACCAAAUCCACCCUGUUCACUGUGGAUUUU
ensembl:lncRNA